CUUUGAUCCAGGUCUUUCUACUAAGCCUCUCUGUGUAGUCUGAGUGUUGGUGCUUCCUGCCCCCCCUUGUUACGCUGACUUCCUUCCCCCAGUGAAGGUGACGUGUCAGGAGGUGAGGCUGCUGGGAGGUGGUGCGUGCCCUCUGAAGUGGGUUAGAGCCUCCUGUGAGACCCUGGAGAAAAGGUGCCAUCUAGGAGAAGGGUCCCUAACCUGACACUGUCUCCAAGAGCCUGGAUCCUGGACUCCCAGCCUCCAAAGCUCCGAGGAGUGAGACCCUGCUGACUGGAGGGACAAGAAUAGAAGCAGAGGAGACACCAUGGUGGCCUUAAGCAGGUGUUGGCAGUGGUCACAGCAAGGAUGGCAAGAAGUGUUCAGACCUGAAAUAUACUUUGGAGACAGAGGCUAGAGGCCUGGAGGCACAGCUGUACUCAGUGGAGCAAGACUGUUCAUCCUUCCAGGAGGUCACCUGAAGCUCAGCCAGGAUGGCAUGCUCUGCCCUGCAAACUCCGCAGAAGGAGCCCAUCUCUGGCCCCGCUCCUGUGACUAUGAGGAGUCUCCGCUGCCAGGCUUCCACCCUAAAAAGCAGCAUUGAUGACACAGACACCGGGGACCCUGGAACCAGGAGGGCAGAGGCUGCUGAGCCAACUGUGUCACUGGGGCCCUGAAUGUGUGGGGUUGAGCUUGACAGGCCAGGUCCCCACGCACGUAAUGAGAUGGUAGGAGAGCUGAGGAGUGGCGCACCCCCUCCCAGCAGGGAAGACACAGCCUGAACCCCGAGAUGCAGACAGGGAGGGGCCGCCUAGGGGAGGCCACGGCCCAGUGGGUUUCCUGCGAUGGUGCCCUUCUCCUGUCCUUCAUUCAGACUGCACACGUUAUCUUACUGUAAUAAAUACAUCCUGUCUGGCAACACAACCUGGAUUACCUACUGAAGAAGCCAAUGAAAAAUGGCCAGGAUCUUUCUAGGGUUUCCCCUUCUGCAUAGCACAAGAUUCAUCAGCCCCUCUCACGACUGUGUGGCCAAAGGCAAGUCCGACUGCACUGGUGUGAACCCUGCAGGCCAGGUGCCCGUGGGGACACGAGAGAAGCAGUGCCCAGGGGUGUGGGCAGGAGCCACCAAGCACAGUGCUCUGGGGAUGGGCGCACACAGGGAGAAGACAC
rnacentral:lncRNA from 1 species